rnacentral:rRNA from 1 species
GACGAACGCUGGCGGCGUGCUUAACACAUGCAAGUCGAACGGAAAGGCCCUGCUUUUGUGGGGUGCUCGAGUGGCGAACGGGUGAGUAACACGUGAGUAACCUGCCCUUGACUUUGGGAUAACUUCAGGAAACUGGGGCUAAUACCGGAUAGGAGCUCCUGCUGCAUGGUGGGGGUUGGAAAGUUUCGGCGGAUGGGGAUGGGCUCGCGGCUUAUCAGCUUGUUGGUGGGGUAGUGGCUUACCAAGGCUUUGACGGGUAGCCGGCCUGAGAGGGUGACCGGCCACAUUGGGACUGAGAUACGGCCCAGACUCCUACGGGAGGCAGCAGUGGGGAAUAUUGCACAAUGGGCGGAAGCCUGAUGCAGCAACGCCGCGUGCGGGAUGACGGCCUUCGGGUUGUAAACCGCUUUCGCCUGUGACGAAGCGUGAGUGACGGUAAUGGGUAAAGAAGCACCGGCUAACUACGUG